CACUCCCUCCAGCUCUUCCCUUCUUCCCCACCCCCAGAUCACAGCUUCCUGCUUCUUCUUCCUCUCCCUUCAUUUCCCUAGGUGCGGAAUCACGUUGCCCUCCAGUGGCUGCAGCUCAUGGCAACAUCAGGAGGAGUUCUGGGGUCCCCAGCAGUCCCCUAAAGUCCGAUGUCCGCCUAAAGUUCUCCCCUCAGCACCUGGACAGCAGCCUGGGAGGAGGCCUCCGAUCUGCCGAGCCAUAGCUCCCGCUUCAGCACCCCCUGCAGCAAUUCCCCGCCCAACCGCUUGGUCUGAUUGGGCUACUCUCCUGCUGAAGAAGCUGUGCUAGUUUCACAUUUCCUUGAAAAUAAAAUACAAAUCCCUCUGACUGGCCCUAGCCUAUUUUUCCAGUCUCAUCGCACAUUAUUCCCCCUCGUGUACUUUGUGCUGCAGUCAGAUUAUCCUACUUAUUCCACUUUUGGGAUAUUCUAUCUCCCACUGCCAUGCCUUUGCAUAGUCACUGGACUACACCAUGUUUUAUAUAAAAUGGGCUGUACCAGAGGUA